AGAGUUUGAUCCUGGCUCAGAACGAACGCUGGCGGCGUGGAUUAGGCAUGCAAGUCGAACGAUCCCGCAAGGGAUAGUGGCAAAAGGGUGCGUAACACGUGGGCAAUCUGCCCCCGAAACGGGAAUAACUUCGGGAAACCGAAGCUAAUACCUGAUGACACCGAGCUGCCGCAUGGUGGCACGGUGAAAGGCGUCCGCAAGGGUGCCGAUCGGGGAUGAGCCCGCGGCCUAUCAGCUAGUUGGUGAGGUAACGGCCCACCAAGGCGAUGACGGGUAGCCGGCCUGAGAGGGUGGUCGGCCACACUGGGACUGAGACACUGCCCAGACUCCUACGGGAGGCUGCAGUCGAGGAUCUUCCGCAAUGGGGGAAACCCUGACGGAGCGACGCCGCGUGGAGGAUGAAGGCCUUCGGGUCGUAAACUCCUGUCAGUCUGGAAGAAAAUCUGCAGCAAUGUGGAUUGACCGUACAGGCAGAGGAAGCUCCGGCUAACUCCGUGCCAGCAGCCGCGGUAAUACGGAGGGAGCGAGCGUUGUUCGGAAUCAUUGGGCGUAAAGGGCAUGUAGGCGGCUCUGUAAGUCGGGUGUGAAAUCCCAUCUCUCAAGGGUGGAACGGCAUUCGAAACUGCAGGGCUUGAGUUCGGGGGAAGAGAGCGGAAUUCUCGGUGUAGCGGUGAUAUGCGUAGAUAUCGAGAAGAACACCAGCGGCGUAAGCGGCUCUCUAUCCUGAAACUGACGCUGAGGUGCGAAAGCCAGGGGAGCGAACGGGAUUAGAUACCCCGGUAGUCCUGACCAUAAACGAUGUGCACUUGGUGUUGGGCCGCGAGGCUCAGUGCCGAAGCUAACGCAUUAAGUGCACCGCCUGGGGAGUACGACCGCAAGGGUUGAAACUCAAAGGAAUUGACGG
rnacentral:rRNA from 1 species